rnacentral:lncRNA from 1 species
AGGGCGAGCCUUAAACUUGGGAAUUUUGGCCAUCAUUUCUUCCUCUAGCUCAGCUGAACUCUUUACUCUUGUUGGACGAACACGUUGCGCUGUUACAAAUUCAGGUUCUUUAGGCCUGGUCAAUAUAAGCUUGUGCUUCCUCUGCAUCUCUCCAGCUGGAUCAUCCUGUGAAGUUGAAUUGCUCAUGGGAGGCAGUGACAUCUCCCUGGUGCUAGAUUGGAACUUUUUCAUCAUUUCUGCUAUUGAAACGAAUGGAGGAACUGGUUCCCGAGCAUACAUCUUAAGAGAGUAGAAACAAUGUUAAGUUAGAUUCACAACAUCCAAAAUUUCUGUAUAUUCCAAAAUGCAAGAAAAGGAAAAUAUUGUCAUACAAACCUUUCUGUCUUGCUUAUGAACUUCUGCAGUCAAAGCAAACAUCCCACUUGGCCUUACUGUUUCCUUAAUUCCAGAAGACGUUAGCACAGCUGCACGUUCUUCGUUCCUAUUUGGCCUUACCUCUUCCGUACUUCCAGAAGACUUGAGCACAGUUGCACUCUCUUCGUUCCCAUUUGGCCUUACCUCUUCUGGAACCUUACUUCCAGAAGAGGUGACAACAACUACAGGUUCUUCCUUCC